rnacentral:rRNA from 1 species
GAUGAACGCUGGCGGCGCGCCUAACACAUGCAAGUCGAACGAUUAAAGCACCUUCGGGUGUGUAUAAAGUGGCGAACGGCUGAGUAACACGUGGGCAACCUGCCCCCUUCAUUGGGAUAGCCACGGGAAACCGUGGAUAAUACCGAAUACUUCGAGACUUCCGCAUGGAAGACUCGAGAAAGCUCCGGCGGAGAGGGAUGGGCCCGCGGCCUGUUAGCUUGUUGGUGGGGUAACGGCCUACCAAGGCAAUGAUGGGUAGCUGGGUUGAGAGACCGACCAGCCAGAUUGGGACUGGGACACGGCCCAGACUCCUACGGGAGGCAGCAGUGGGGAAUCUUGCACAAUGGGCGAAAGCCUGAUGCAGCGACGCCGCGUGCGGGAUGAAGGCCUUCGGGUUGUAAACCGCUUUCAGCAGGGACGAGGCGAAAGUGACGGUACCUGCAGAAGAAGCCCCGGCUAACUACGU